CCGUGUAAGGUCCGCUUGAGACGAGUAGCGAGACGUAACUUUCAGAAUUAUUUACUUUUUGUUUGGGUGUGUGGUUAUGGUUUCAUAUCAACUCGGUGAGAAAAAUAAGCAAAUAUAUAUUCGUGAAAAAUAGUGCACAACCUCCUUUUGCUCUAGCCAAUUACUUGUAACGGCCCUUUCCGUAUCUUCUGUCCCUGGUAAUCUCCUUCCCGGGUAUGCACAGCAUUCUCCUCCUCCCUGGGCGAAAUCAGUGGAGCCACAACCAGCGUUAUUUGUUGUCACCAUCAACAUAAGCUGAUAGUACUCUUUUCCCCGCCGAUGGGAGCCAAUCAGAAGUACAUUUUGCUUGGAAAGAAAGGCAUUGAUUGCGCAGCUAGAAGCGAUAUGCUAAAAACAUCCUUCUGCACUGUUAUGAUUCGACAGUGAAGCGCGAGCUGGCAACGAAUGCAUUUGUCACCAAAAGAUACGACUUGUUUUGUAAACAAAUUUGUUUUUUCACGAGCAAUGGCCGAACAGCAAUUUUGACAUUGCGGUCCACCUAUAGUACAACGCUUUGAUACGGAGCAAGAAAAGUGAAGUAGAAGGUAAAACGUAAUGUCAGAAUUGCCGUUCGGACCUGUUCGGACGAAUCCCGUAAGUUUGAACUUAUUUACAUAGAUGGUAUCCAAACAACACUAAACAUUGACUACAGUUUCGCUGGCACGGCUGAUUGUCGUUAUGAACCAACACAAAAAACAAAGCUGCAAAUUAUGCGCCAGUGGCGGUACCACGAUCAAAGCACUCCCUGAAUCACAUUAGCCGAGCCAGCUGGCGUAAGCAUAUGCAUAAAGGUUACUAGGUUACUAUUUUCAACGACAACUGUUUAUUUAUUAUACUGCUUCAAAAACCUUCGACGAAAUCAAAUGUAACCAUACCAACUGUAAAUUACGAGCCACCGGUUAACUCCACCAUCUUGAUACGGAGUAACUGCGUUGACGGCAUUGAUGAAUUUACGUUAGAUUUACAACCAGAUGGCGCAGCGAGUAAAAUAGCCGCGCGAGAUAUCUGGUGGAUGAUAAUCCAGACGACCGGAGUUCGAACUCACAUCAGAGCAGUUUUCACCAAACAUCAAUCUGUGCCAUUUUAAACAUUCAUAUUCCACUCCCAAUACAAGU